GAUGAAGAACGAAGCGAAAUGCGAUAAGUAAUGUGAAUUGCAGAAUUCAGUGAAUCAUCGAAUCUUUGAACGCACAUUGCGCCCGCCAGUAUUCUGGCGGGCAUGCCUGUUCGAGCGUCAUUUCAACCCUCAGGACCCUUUGGACCUGGUGUUGGGGCUCGGCCGCUACCCCGCGGCCGUCCCCGAAAGAUAGUGGCGGUCUCGCUGUAGCGUCCUCUGCGUAGUAAUUACACCUCGCACUGGAACGCGGCGCGGCCACGCCGUUAAACACCCCACUUCUCAAGGUUGACCUCGGAUCAGGUAGGAAUACCCGCUGAACUUAAGCAUAUCAAUAAGCGGAGGA
rnacentral:misc_RNA from 1 species